UCAGGAUUCAGGUGAGAUGAGACAGACAGCAGGGUUCCAGAACAGGCCUUCGCCUUCGCCUUCAGGACUCAGGUGAGAUGAGACAGACAGCAGGGUUCCAGAACAUCAGGGAUCAUCAGAGAUUCAGCAAUCACACCUGACAACCCUUUAGCAGUGUGACAUUGUUGUAUUUACUGUGUCGUUACUGUAUUGGGUAACUACUAUGUGUCUUAUCUAGAACUACUUACUAUGUAACUACUUCGUGUACCUACUAUAUUAUAACUUUAUAACUAAAUAUAUUCUCUCUCUCUC
rnacentral:lncRNA from 13 species